GAUGAACGCUGGCGGCGUGCUUAACACAUGCAAGUCGAACGAAGCACUUUAUUUGAUUUCCUUCGGGACUGAUUAUUUUGUGACUGAGUGGCGGACGGGUGAGUAACGCGUGGGUCACCUGCCUUGUACAGGGGGAUAACCGUUGGAAACGGCUGCUAAUACCGCAUAAGCGCACGGCAUCGCAUGAUGCAGUGUGCAAAACUCCGGUGGUAUAAGAUGGACUCGCGUUGGAUUAGCUAGUUGGUGAGGUAACGGCCCACCAAGGCGACGAUCCAUAGCCGACCUGAGAGGGGGACCGGCCACAAUGGGACUGAGACACGGCCCAAACUCCUACGGGAGGCAGCAGUGGGGAAUAUGGCACAAUGGGCGAAAGCCUGAUGCAGCGACGCCGCGUGAGCGAAGAAGUAUUUCGGUAUGUAAAGCGCUAUCAGCAGGGAAGAUAAUGACGGUACCUGACGAAGAAGCACCGGCUAAAUACGUG
rnacentral:rRNA from 1 species